UUAAAAAUAAGCUAAAUAAGCUUUUGAGUUCAUACCUCAAAUAUAUAGAAAAUACUAUUUUUUAAA
rnacentral:tRNA from 1 species